CCUGACCUCGAUUCAAGCGUGAUUACCCGCUGAACUUAAGCAUAUCA
rnacentral:rRNA from 1 species